ACUGCAGAUAAAAAGACCGACACGGACGCCUGCCACUAUUCAGUGCCGGUGUGCAUCGAUGCCGACAAAGAGACGAGGAGCCACGCUUCAGCCACAGAGGGGACAAAAAACACGGAGUCACUGAAGAUGUGACACGGGACUACUCUUAGCUAGACAGAGACCACGGGGACGCCGUCGCGUACUCACUUGGCUUUUUUCACCUUUGUUUUAACUUCGGCUCUGUCUGCAUUAACCGGGCCACUCACCUCUCGCAAGCGUUUGACUCACGUGGGAGGGUGCAUUUUACCGGUGAGACAGGAAAAGACCAACCUCAACUUCACCGUGUGCCGCAAAGCUAACGUUAACUGUGAAAUCAAAGAAAAGUGGUAGCAGCCCUCAGACAGGAUACUUUGCAGUCAGUGGGAUGUUAGAGCUCUGGAAGCAGGACUGACUGAAGGAGCAUGGUGAAACACCAACCCCUCCAGGUCUAUGAGCGGCAGCUGUGUUUGUCAUGUAUCACUGGGAUCUACGGUUGCCGCUGGAAACGCUAUCAACGUUCCCAUGAUGACACCACCAAGUGGGAGCUGCUGUGGUCCCUCAUCCUCCUCUUUACCUUCUGUCUGCUGCUGGUAUGGUUCUACUUCUGGUGGGAGGCGCAUAAUGACUACAAUGAGUUCAACUGGUUCCUCUACAACCGGUCUGGGGAGUGGAGUGAUGGCACUGUUCCUAUCCUGGCCACCACCGCUGCUGGCUUCACCUACAUUGCAUUUUUAAUGGUUUUAGCACUUUGCCACAUUGCACUUGGGCAACAGUUGAAUUUGCACUGGCUCCAUAAGAUAGGAGUGACUGCUGCUCUGCUCACAACCAUUGUUGGGGUGAUAUCUGUCAAUCAAACAUGGAGUCAAGAGUGGGACGUCAUCCCCAUCUCCCUGCAGGCCACAGGUCCGUUCCUGCACAUCGGGGCUCUUGCUGCAGUCACAGCGCUGUCUUGGAUUGUGGCUGGACAGGUCGCCCGCUCAGAAAAAACAAGGCUCCAGGUGGUGGUUGUGCUGCUGUAUCUCAGUGUGUUACUGGGGCUCUAUGUGGUACCCCUGAACAUCAACUCCCCCUGCAUCAUGAACCCCACUGCUCUCAAGCAACGCCCUGAUGUCAUUGGCCACCAGGGAGCUCCCAUGCUCGCUCCAGAGAACACACUGUGGUCCUUCCAACGAGCUCUGCAGAUGAACGUCACUGGGUUGGAGGCUGACGUGGCUAUCAGUGUGGAUGGAGUGCCUUUCCUGAUGCAUGACCGCAACCUGCUGAGAACCACGGACGUCGAGAAGGUGUUCCCAGACAGACGGUUGGAUGAUGCCUCACACUUCAACUGGACAGAUCUGCAGCAGCUCAACGCAGGACAGUGGUUCCUCAAGGACGACCCCUUCUGGACAGUGCACACCCUGUCCCCCCAUGACAAGAAUCUGAUUGCCAACCAGAGUGUGUGCAGCCUGGAGCAGCUUCUAAAGCUGGCUUCCUAUCAUAACAGCACAGUGGUUUUCAGGCUGAGGAGACCACCUCCGGACCACCCCUGCUACCACAGCUGGAUCAAUGAUACGCUGCGGGCUGUGCAGAAAUCUGGGGUUCCUCAGAGCCUGGUGAUGUGGACUCCAGAUGAACACAGAGCGCAGGUGAGACAGCUGGCACCCAGUCUGAUCCAGACCUCAGCGGAGAAACGGAGUCCUCAAAGUCUCCAUCAGUUCGGCAUCAGCAGGCUGCUGCUCAGAUACAACCAGGCCAGCACAUGGGAAAUCAGAGACUUCUCCGAGAGCAACAUCAACCUCACACUUUACAACAUCAACGAGCCCUGGUUGUUCUCGGUGCUCUGGUGCAGCGGGGUGUCUUCAGUCUCUUCAGAGGCCCCACAUAUCCUUAAUAAGGUGCCUUACCCCAUCUGGCUUAUGAGUCCAGAUAAAUACUGCCUGAUGUGGGUGUCCGCAGAUCUCAUCUCCUUUGCAGUAGUUAUAGGAAUAUUCAUUUUCCAGAAGUAUCGGAUGAGCGGGAUGCGCAGCUACAACCCUGAACAGAUCAUGCUGAGCGCCGCAGUCAGGAGGUCCAGCAGAGACAUCAACGUCAUGAAGGAGAAACUCAUCUUCUCUGGUAAGACCCUCACACUGAGACGAGGGGGACAUGUUGGAUGUCUGUCUCUCCUGGAUGUUUUGUAGUGUGUGUUUGUUGUUUGGGCUCCUGAACUCAGAAACAAAUUCCUCUCUUUGUAUUGAUUUUACAAAAAGAUUCACCAUUUCUCCUACUUUAUAUUUAUUUUUUUAACUUGAUGAUGAGGAAUGAGCCAUUUUGGGUUCCAGGUGCCCAGCUAGCAUGUCACUCCAUCCCAGCAUGCAUCUCUCUUAGUGUCUGUGAAUGUUCUCGCUCCUCCUCUUCCUCUCUUCCCUGUUGAAGGUCAACCCCAGUAGCAGCCUGUGUGACGUGCACCACCUCCUGUCCAUGCUACCACCAGUGUGACUUCCUCCUUUUAUUCCAUGCAUCCAUUGCAUCCCUCGUUACCUGCCACUUCUCUACCUACUAUGCCCUUCUCCCCCUCAUCCAUCCAUCCAUCCCUUCAUGUACCAAACCUCUCCUCCAUAACCCUCCCACUGGAGACCACGUCAUGUUUAGGGGAGCUUAUAGAUGCCCCAGUCUGUCUAGACAUCCUCUAGUGCUGGGGGGUCAAAGAGGUGGGGAAUGGAGUUGACGGCACUGAGGAGCUGUAUGCAGACAAUGGCUACGACUACUACACCAAUCGGGGCGUUAGCCAGUGAUCGGGACUGUGUGAAUCUGCUGUAGCGAGACGGAGAGGACAACACUCAGUGUUCACAUCGCUUUUUUUGUGUUUAGUCAGUGUGAAGUCUAUCCUCCUCUGUCGUGCUGAUUAACUGACAGACUGCUGUAUGUGAUGGAGAAAACAAACCACCCAGUUGCUUUGUGUACAUUCUGUGAAUAGUUGUGGUUAUUUUCUCUUUUUUUGCCUGUCAGACAUAUUGUAUAUCACACGGGACUACACGCACUUUUUAUUAAUGGAAUUUGCCAAAUCUGGGGCCUCCUUUCUCACAUCUAAAUGUCAGAGAGGCCCCUCUGAGUUACCAAUGCCUGCUUCUUCUUUUUUAUUUUUAGUUUUUAAAUGUGUUUCCAGAUUCGUUAAUAUUAUACACUAAUUUCCCAAAGCAGUUCCUUGUUUUUAAACCACUGUACAUAAUAUUCUUCUCUUAGCAGAUGGAUUUCUGUUUAACAAGGCAUUAUUGCAGUAUGAGACUAAAACGCUAACCGCUCGUUAUGCUCCCGCCUUCUGUCGGCACUCCACUGUGCUGUUGUUCAUAAUAGUACUAAUAUUUAUAUUUAAAGAGGAAAACCACAAACAAGCUGUUUACAGGAGUCCUGCCUUCUCCUCCAAGUGAAAUAUUCACAUGGUGUAUUGUAAGAUAAUUAUUUUGAUAGAGGCUGAAUGCCCCCCGCCUCCCUACUUUUGACCAGUGCAUAUGGCUGUAAAGAUCAUGUCAACGUGUGUGUGUGUGUGUGUGUGACCAGAAGAACUGGUGAAAAUGGUUUGGGUGUGAACAUUUGGGCUGUCUUUUAAUUAAUGUGAAUGUGUUUUUAGAAUUUUUUUUUUUUUUUUUUUUUUUUUUAAAGAUGUGUAUUUGUGUGUAUUCUGGCUGGGUACAUAUGUUACCCUGUGUGCAGUGCUAUGUUGUGUUUUAUUGUACAUAAAAGGUUAACCGAUGUGUGAGAUGCUUCAGCCAACCAAGAAUUUAUAGUGGAACAAUGUAACCGUGAUGAACAGUUUAAUCAUUACAAUAGCAAUAGUCUGUUCCAUGAUGGAAGUGACUUUGCAGUUAAGUCUGCGGUAUUUUAGUGUUCACAUACACAAUGUUGGUUGCUAGUGUAAAACUGAAUGCUGUAACGUAAAUGAAGUGGGUGCUAAAUGUGAAAAUAAAGCUCUAAGCUAAUUGAAAGGACGCUCCAGGGAUCACAACAGGCUGCACAGGGUCAAGAGAUUGAUUGCCUUUUGUGUUUGUUUUCUUUGAGUAUUACUGUGCCUCAGAAGUAAACAUUAAACACCUUCUAAUACAGGA